UACGAAGGGGGCUAGCGUUGUUCGGAAUCACUGGGCGUAAAGCGUGCGCAGGCGGUGAUGUAAGACAGAUGUGAAAUCCCCGGGCUCAACCUGGGAACUGCAUUUGUGACUGCAUCGCUAGAGUACGGCAGAGGGGGAUGGAAUUCCGCGUGUAGCAGUGAAAUGCGUAGAUAUGCGGAGGAACACCGAUGGCGAAGGCAAUCCCCUGGGCCUGUACUGACGCUCAUGCACGAAAGCGUGGGGAGCAAACAGG
rnacentral:rRNA from 1 species